GAUGAACGCUAGCUACAGGCUUAACACAUGCAAGUCGAGGGGCAGCAUGAAGUUUGCUUGCAAACUUUGAUGGCGACCGGCGCACGGGUGAGUAACGCGUAUCCAACCUUCCCCUUACUAGGGAAUAGCCCGGCGAAAGUCGGAUUAAUGCCCUAUGUUCUCCUUUGCGGGCAUCUAACGAGGAGCAAAGAUUCAUCGGUAAGGGAUGGGGAUGCGUCUGAUUAGCCGGUUGGCGGGGUAACGGCCCACCAAGGCGACGAUCAGUAGGGGUUCUGAGAGGAAGGUCCCCCACAUUGGUACUGAGACACGGACCAAACUCC
rnacentral:rRNA from 1 species